UGGGAAGUGCCGGGCCGGCGGGGAGGGGAGCCCGGGCGCACGGGCCAGGCCGCGGGCUGUCCCAGGGAGCCCCGAGGGCGCGGUGCGCGGGCGCAGGUCGGGCGCAGGCGGGGUGACCCGGGGAAGGGGCGCGCACAGAGACAGAGGGAGCCAGCCGGGCCCCACGGUGUCCUCGGACGCCUCCGAAAUCUCCCUGCGUGUUUGUUUCUUCGGAGCUUCACCGGAGCCUGACUCUGGAACCGGCCUGUCUGCCUGCUGCAGUCUGUCAUUCAACAUUUAUUCAACCAAAAAUACUAAGUCAGCUCUAUACAAACUAAUGGAAGGAUACAGCUAUGCAAAUAUAGAACACUAAAGUGUUACAUGACAGAUGUAUGAGAACUGGGAAGAAAGGACCCUGAAAAGUUAGCUGGUUCCAAGUGACCCUCCAAGGGGAAGAGUGCUGGAUUCAGAGCCCACCUCAGGGGAAGACAGGACCCUCUCCAAGAUGGUUUCCCUAGAAGCUACUACCUCUCCCUGGAGGGUGGAGAUAUUUGCUGGUCAAAGCAAGAAGGCCCUCUGCAGAUGCUGACACCUUGAUAUUGGACUUCCCAGAUUCCAGAACUCUGAGAAAUAAAUUUCUAUUUUAAAUAAAUUACCCAGUCUGUGAUAUUCUGUUAUAGCAACACAAAAUGGACUUAGACGGUAUGCUAAUGAGAUGACUGCUGGCAGGGAGCUCUGAAAUAACUUUAGGAUAGGGGCUGGUUACUACAAAAACAAAGGCAUGUUUAGUGGGUUGGGACUUUCAGCCUAUACCUCAACCUCUGGGGAGGGGAGAGGGCCUGAAGUUUGAGUUGAUCACUAAUGGCCAAUGAUGUAAUCAAUCAUGCCUGUGUAAUGAAGGCUUUACAGAAAACCAAACAGGGUUUGCAGACUUUCUUGAUUGCUGAACACAUGGAGGUUCCUGGAGGGUGGUGUGCCCAGAGAGGUCAUGGAAGCUCCAUGCCCCUUCUCCAAUACCUCACCAGAUGCAUCUCUCUCAUCUGGAUGUUCAUCUCUAUCCUUUGUAAUAUCCUUCGUAGUAAAUGGUCAAACUUAAGUAAAGUGUUUCCCUGAGUUCUGUGAGCCACUUUAGCAAAUUAAUUGAGCCUAAGGCGGGGGGUCAUGAGAGUCCCAAUGUAUAGCCAGUUGAACAGAAGCACAGGUCGCAACCUGAGGCUUGCAAUUACCAUCUGUAGUGUUGGGUGGGGGGAACAGGCUUGUGGGAUCUGACACUGUCUCCCAGUAGAUAGUGUCAGAAUUGAAUUGAUUUUUAGGGCAUGCAGUCGGUGUCCAUUGCAGAUUGCUAGGUGUGUGGGGAAAAACCUCAACGUAUCUGUUGUUAGAAGUAAAUUGUUGAGUGACUGUGUGAGUAUAAGCAAAGGAGUAGGAAAAGCACCUUUGGUUUUUUCAAUAUUUUAGAGAAUCCAGAUGUCUUGGCUCUGAGCCAGUCAUCUGAGGACCAAACCAGGCCGUGCCUAGUAGUGAACCUCUUCUCUUGACCCAACAAGAUUACAAAAAUUAAAAACAAACGAAUAAACAGAGACAGGUCAAAAAAAGUAAACAAAAACCAAAACAGCAAGUCAAAUGAAAGCAGGGCUCUUAAUCAAAGUUCAUCAAGAAGGUAAGAAAAAUUGAUAUGGUCUGGGAAAACAUCAGAGCUGUGAGACAGCAUUCCAACUCUUGUUUUUCUCCCACUUUUUCUUUUUUCUUUUCUUUUCUUCCCCCCACCCCCCACCCCCCCCAUUGAGACAGGGUCUUUCUCUGUCACCUAGGGUGGAAUACAGUGGUGCAACCAUGGCUCACUGCGAACUCAACCUCCUAGGCUCAAGCAAGUUUCCCAUCUCAGCUUUUCAAGCAGCUGGAACCAUAGGCAUGUGCCACCUCACCUGGCUAAUUUUUUUAUGUUUGAAGUUUUUUGAAGAGACAGAGUUUCACUAUGUUGCCCAGGCUGGUCUCAAACUCCUGGGCUCAAGCAAUCCUCCUGCCUCAGCCUCCCAAAGUGCUGAACUACAGAUGUAAGCCAUUGUGCCUGGCCUUCACUUUUUCUUAGGAACCAUAGAUUUAACAAUGAAUCUCUAUAUGAUUAAUAUUCAAAGUGUGGUCUAUGGAUCCGCAGCAUCAGCAAGGUAUGAGAGAUGAUAAGAAAUGCAAAUCUCUGCCUAUUUCAUUUAGACCUGUUGAAUCAGAACCUGUAUUUUUGCAAGAUCCCUGAAUGAUUAAUAUACACAUUGACAUGUGAGAAGCACUGGUCUACAUUACCUAGCAAAGAGUAAAGAAUGGUCCUACAGGUCAGUGAUGGCAGUGCUCACUCUACAUACCAAGGACACCAUGGGGGCCAAUUUAAGGUAGUGCAUGCACUGACUUCCACUCCCAGGGUGUCAUCCGUGUCAUUUUCAGUAAUUACAGUGCCUUAUGCUCUACUCUUUGGCAAGACAGAGGAGGGGAACACUCUCUCCAUGGCUACUGUGCCAGCACAAUCACGUUGUGUCAUACUAUAACCAUAGGGUUUGGCAAUUUGGGACAGUCUUUUUGAAAGACCUAUAACCUUUGUUCUAUAUGAUAGGAACAAAUAUAUAUCAUCCUAGUUUUCUUUUAUAUUAGUCUCGAAAUAUCCUCUCUGAAUGUGUUUACAAUUUCUCUGUGGCCACUGACAGAUGAGAUGUAGUUUAUUAAUAUUCAUCUCAGAAGAAACUUUUGCAAAAACGGAAUGUAUCUGGAGCUAAACAUGAUUAAAUUGACUGACACUGUAUUUAAUUACAUAUUUUAUGGAGAUCCUUUUUUAAAAAUAUAGAAGUGUGGACUACAUGAUUACUCAUUUAUUUAUUUAGUCAACAUUUAUUGAGUAACUACUAUGAAACUGGCCUGGUCUAGCCACUGAAGAUACAAAUAUCAAUAGGCCCUUUCCAAAAGAAUGGUUCUCAGUUAAUGUAGAGUAGAUUGACUGGACUACAGUUUUAUUUCUACCACUUGAUAUUUCGUUGACAUCGAGUAAAUUAAUUAAUUCUCUAAACCUCAAUUUCCCCUCUAUAAAUGAGGAUAUUAUUAGUACUUAAUUCACAGUGUUGAUGUGAGGAUUAUAUCAAAAACAUUUAACAUAUUGUCUCGUACACAAGUGCUAAAUAAUUUUUAAGCUACAAUUACUUUCUACUAUUCUGUGUUAUUCAGAUAAAAUGAUUUUUAUUUUUAUUUUUAUUUUAUUUUAUUUUAUUUUAUUUUUUUCUGAGAUGGAAUCUUGCUCUGUUGCCCAGGCUGGAGUGCAGUGGCGUGAUCUUGGCUCACUGCAAACCCCGCUUUCCAGGUUCAAGCAAUUCUUCUGCCUCAGCCUCCCAAGUAGCUGGAAUUACAGGUACAUGCCACCAUGCCCGGCUAAUUUUUUUGUAUUCUUAGUAGAGACGGGGUUUCUCCAUGUUGGUCAGGCUGGUCUUGAACUCUUGACCUCGUGAUCCGCCCGCCUUGGCCUCCCAAAGUGCUGGGAUUACAGGCAUGAGACACCACGCCAAGCCCAAGGAUUUUUAAAAUACAGAAAUCAGAAUAUAGUUUAACACUGACAAUUGUGUCUAAGUACUCAGCAGAUAGUUAAAGGUGCAUGAAUUGGUGCAGCCAGUGCUUAGUGAGUGCCUACUAGGUGCUAGGCAAUGUGCUCAUGUUACUGAUAAAUGAAUGAAUGGAUUCCAAUUCCUGCUGUUGCGGAGCUCCCCAUCUUAGAUGUGAAAUUUGAUACCUACCUGAGCAAUGUUCUCAGGUAAACUUUCAGGUAAAUACCACCUGAAAGAUUAUAACCAUUUUAAAUAUCAAUAAUGAAACUGAAUUCCUUUUUCUUGGGGCUGUUUUUAGAUAAAAUGCUAUAAAACAUCCAUUUUAGUUCUCAUCAAUUGGUAAGGCACUGCUGUAACACUGCAUUGUCGGUCUUCUCGUUCAGUGUUGUCUGUUUCACUCUCCAGCUCAACCCCAGAGUCCUCACGGCCAUGCAUCCCUGACCCUUGGAGUCACAGUUCUUUCUUGCGACCACUCCCCCACUUUUUUCACAUCUCUGUUUAGAGUCAAGCUGCUUCCUUUAGAAGAUGUAUACCCCUUUCUAUCUAAAGCUGAAUAUCCAUAGUUUGGUCUUAAUUAUGUGUUUUCUUUCACUGUCACGAGUUCUUUGAUCUUUAUUCACAGAUAUGCUCUAUAGAGGCCGUGCUGUGUAGUGGUUAUGGCUAUAGGGUCAGGGAUCAGAUUGUCUUAGUUCAAUCCUGGACUGGGUAAUUGUUAGCUGUGAGGUACCGGGCCAGUUGCUUAAUCUCUCCGUGCCUCAGUUUCUUUAUAUGUAAGGUAGGAUAUUGAUUAUCUUCUGACUCAAAGUGUUAUUUUGAGGAUUAAUUGAGGUAAUACAUGUAAAAUUCUUAGAGCAGUGACUGGCACAAAGUAAAUAAGCUCUGUGUGUUUGUGUGUGUGUGUGUGUGUGUGUGAGAGAGAGAGAGACAGAGAGAAAGAAAGAAAGAGAGAGAGAGAGACUGACUAUGGGUGUGUUGGUUCUGGGUCUUAGCUGAACUAAAUAGCCAGUCUCAGUGAGAACUACCUUUAUUCUCAUCUUCUUCAUGUUCUGCAUUUGUCUAGAAGUCCAGUGCUUUCAUGUGACUCAGCACAUAAGAGUCACCAUCCAGGACAACCAGCCUCUCAUACAUGAUCUCUGGUCCUCCACGCCUUAGAGAGAACAGAUCAGCUCCCUGUGGCAUACAUCAGACUAUAAAGAAAGCUUCCUUCUUUUAAUAGUUCUGCCUUGGGAUACAUUUACCUUAUCCUUUAUUUGAUAACAUAGAUAUUAAAAUUCUACAUUGAUGUGCUAUGUACAGAGGCUGGGAGCCAGACUGUCUAGGGAUAAGUCUGACACUUGCUGCUUUCUGGUUUGUGCAUACAUAAAAUAGUGACAAUAGGACCUUCUUCCUGGAUUUGUUAUGACUAAAUGAAAUGGCCCAUGUAAAGUGCUAUUAAUAUGUAGCAUAUGCCAUUGAGUGGUGAGUCAAAAUGUUAGCUAUUAUUACAAAAACUCAUUUGUUUUUACAUUUAAUAAGUUCUGCCUGGGUAUCUUCACCCACAGGGAAUAAUAAUGAGUUGGGUGGAGUACUUGUUAACCCCUAAGUGAAAGGCAUACACUUAUUUUGCUGAAAAAGUAUUAACAUGCUCUCUUGUAAAAUUGAGAAAGACUCUGGAAGCAAGUGGCAUCCUAAUCUUAGGGAAGGUUAGAAAGUAGAAUUUAUAGGUAACACUCUGGGAAGCCACCUAAAAUGCAUGGGGACUCAUCUCUAACCAUUAGAUUUGUAGUGAAGAUUUGUUAAAGAAAAUUAAAAUGGAAACCAGACAUGGAGAAUCACUUAGAUGAUUCAGGCUGGGUUAGGUCACUUAUGGAAUCACUUUUCCUGGAGCAGGGAAAGCCAGUUAGGCCUCAUAAGUGACCUAACCCAGACUGAUUUGCAAACACAAGUGAAAAUUAACUUGAACUAUUUCUUAUAAAUACUUGUAUUAAAGCAAAAUGAAAUUUAAGAUUAACCACUCAGAAGCUGCCAACUAAGUUAUAUAACUAAAGACUUUCCAGCAGUAUAGGCCAACUAAGGCAAUUGUAUAAAGGUAACCAAUCAAAUAUUUUCUUUGCUUUAGUUCCGUGGUUGUCCUGUAAAAGCCCUCCCCUUGCAUUCCUUUAGUGGAGCCCAUGAACCACUUAUAGUUUGGAGCUGUCUGAUUCAUGAAUUGCUAUUUGCUCAAGUAAACUCUUUAAAAUUUUAUUGUGCCUCAGUUUACCUUUUAACAGGAAAAUAGAUUGGCUCAGCAAAAAUUUCUUCACCACCAUGGUUGAAGAGCUAGCUACAUACCUACACUGUCUGGUGAAAUUUCCUUUUUCAGGGGUAAGACAUUCUAAUGAGGGAAAUGAUCCACAACUGGACUAACCAAGGUGGAAGAGCUGAUGAAAAGACACUGGAGAAUCACGCUUAGAGACAGAUGUGCAUAUGUACAAUACACAGCUCAACACUCAAUGUUUUCUGAAGAAACCAUAAACAACCCAAAUAGUUUUCUUGGAUACUCAUUUUCAGCCUUUUCAACAGGGAAUGCCCAGUUUUGCCUCUUUGCCAGCUACUAGCUACUGAGUUUACCCUGAACUUUGUAAACACUGUUCACUGUUCCCACACGGUCUGUAGUGUUCUUUUGCUUCUCUUCUCUCUUUUCCCUUAUAUAUGUUCUUUUUGUUUUCCUUUUUUGUUUUCUUUUUUGAGACAGUGUCUCCCCGUCUCCCAGGCUGGAGUGCAGUGGCGCAAUCUUGGCUCACUGCAACCUCUGCCUCCCAGGUUCAAGCAAUUCUCAUUCCUCAGUCACCAGAAUAGCUGGGAUCACAGGCAUGCACCACCACGCCCAGCUAAUUUUUGUAUUUUUAGUAGAGAUGCAGUUUUGCCACAUUGUCCAGGCUGGUCUCAAACUCCUGGCCUCAAGUGUUCCACCCACCUCAGCCUCCCAAAGUGCUGGGGUUACGGACAUGAGCCACUGUGCCUGACUUAUCUCUUCUUUUAAGUUUGUUCCUUCACUCAGCCUACUAGUUAACUCCCGUACAUGAGUUAAUAAGUUUUACACAAAAUUUCUCAGCGCAUGCAACACAACUAACUAAAUCCCUCUAUUUAACAGGGAAAGUGCAAUUGUGUGAGAAUGGACAAGUGUGCUGCUGGGUUUUGGGAAUCACUUCUUUGGCUGAACCUUUUUAUUUUCUUUUAAAUCUUAUGACAUAUGCCGUUAGUGAGUUUAUAUAGUUCGGUGUAUUAGUCUGCUUUCACACUGCCAUAAAGAACCACCCGGGACUGGAUAAUUUCUAAAGAAAAGAAGUUUAAUUGGCUCACAGUUCCACAUGGCUGGAGAGGCCUCAGGAAAGGUACAAUCAUGGCGGAAGCCACAGGGGAAGCAAGGCACGUCUUACCAUGGCACAGCAGGAGAGAGAGAGCAAAGGGAGAAGUGCUGCACUUUUAAACCAUCAGAUUUCGUGAGAACUCGUUCACUAUCAACAGAACAGCAAGGGGGAAAUCCCUCCCCAUGAUCCAAUCACCUCCCACCAGGUCCCUCCCCUGACAUGCGGGGAUUACAAUUUGACAUGAGAUUUGGGUGGGGACACAGAGCCAAACUAUAUCAUUUGGUUAAAGAAGUAAGUGGCCUGUAUUUAACUUUUGGGACUGGGAAAAUGAAUUAAAAUAAUUCUUUAUUUUACAGAUAUUAAAGUAAUUGUGAAAUAAAAGAAAAAAUUGUCUGAUAAAACCACAUCUCAUAGAAACCCAAUGAAUGCAACACAUCUAAAAUUUUAUCUGCAAAAAACGAGAGAAGACUUGCCCUUCUGUCAGUAAAGCACAGAUAAAGAGAAGUAAACUUUUCUGGAUUGAGGCAAUAAUUGGGCAUCAAGAGUCCACGUGACAACUGAGGCUGGCAGUUCAAAUGUCACACCUCUUAGGAAUGACUUUCCUUGCACAGUGCUCUCCUCAGGGCACCCUUGACCUCUACAUUCCUCAGGUUGUAAAUCAGGGGGUUUAGCAUCGGGUUGAAAGAACUGUAAAAUAGAAAAAGGACCUUCUGCUGCUCCUCAGGAUGGCGGGACUUAGGGGCCAUGUACAUGACGAUGGCGCUGCCAAAGAAGAGUCCCACUACGCAGAGGUGGGAGGAGCAGGUGGAGAAGGCCUUUCUGCGGCCCUCCCCAGACUGGAUCCUCAGGAUGGCCGCCAGGAUGUGUGAGUAGGAGACCAGCACCAGGCAGAGUGGUCCCACCAGGAUGAACAUGCAGGCUGCAAAGAUGACCACCUGGUUGAGCCAGGUAUCAGCACAGGCCAGCCUGAGGACAGACAGGAUUUCACAGAAGAAGUGGUUGAUUUCACGAGGCCCACAAAAGGGCAGUCUUAGGAUGAGGCUCACAUGGACCAUAGCCAGGAGGGAGCCACAUGUCCAGGAAGUGAUGGCCAGAGUGAUGCAGACUUUCCAGGUCAUGAUGAUGAAAUAUCGGAGAGGGUGGCAGAUGGCCACGUACCGAUCGUAGGACAUCAGCACCAACAGGAGGCAUUCAGUAUGUGCAAAACUCAAAAAGAGAAAGGUCUAUGUCAUGCAGCCAGCAAAGGAGAUGGGCUUGGCUGGAUGCAGGAGGUUCACCAGCAUCUGGGGCACUGUGUUGCAGG
rnacentral:lncRNA from 1 species